GCCUGGGUGGCUCAGUGGUUGAGCAUCUGCCUUCGGCUCAGGUCGUGAUCCUGGGGUCGUGGAAUCAAGUCCCACAUCAGGCU
rnacentral:tRNA from 1 species